rnacentral:rRNA from 1 species
AGGGACGAAGCUUUUGUGACGGUACCUGAGAAGAAGCACCGGCUAACUACGUGCCAGCAGCCGCGGUAAUACGUAGGGUGCGAGCGUUGUCCGGAUUUACUGGGCGUAAAGAGCUCGUAGGUGGUUUGUCGCGUCGUCUGUGAAAUCCCGGGGCUCAACUCCGGGCGUGCAGGCGAUACGGGCAUAACUUGAGUGCUGUAGGGGAGACUGGAAUUCCUGGUGUAGCGGUGAAAUGCGCAGAUAUCAGGAGGAACACCAAUGGCGAAGGCAGGUCUCUGGGCAGUAACUGACGCUGAGGAGCGAAAGCAUGGGUAGCGAACAGGAUUAGAUACCCUGGUAGUCCAUGCCGUAAACGGUGGGCGCUAGGUGUAGGGGUCUUCCACGACUUCUGUGCCGCAGCUAACGCAUUAAGCGCCCCGCCUGGGGAGUACGGCCGCAAGGCUAAAACUCAAAGGAAUUGACGGGGGCCCGCACAAGCGGCGGAGCAUGUGGAUUAAUUCGAUGCAACGCGAAGAACCUUACCUGGGCUUGACAUAUACCGGACCGGGCCAGAGAUGGUCUUUCCCUUGUGGCCGGUAUACAGGUGGUGCAUGGUUGUCGUCAGCUCGUGUCGUGAGAUGUUGGGUUAAGUCCCGCAACGAGCGCAACCCUUGUCUUAUGUUGCCAGCACGUGAUGGUGGGCACUCAUGAGAGACUGCCGGGGUUAACUCGGAGGAAGGUGGGGAUGACGUCAAAUCAUCAUGCCCCUUAUGUCCAGGGCUUCACACAUGCUACAAUGGUCGGUACAGCGAGUUGCCACACCGUGAGGUGGAGCUAAUCUCUCAAAGCCGGCCUCAGUUCGGAUUGGGGUCUGCAACUCGACCCCAUGAAGUCGGAGUCGCUAGUAAUCGCAGAUCAGCAACGCUGCGGUGAAUACGUUCCCGGGCCUUGUACACACCGCCCGUCACGUCAUGAAAGUUGGUAACACCCGAAGCCAGUGGCCCAACC